rnacentral:rRNA from 1 species
CCUACGGGGGGCAGCAGUCGAGAAUCAUUCACAAUGGGGGAAACCCUGAUGGUGCGACGCCGCGUGGGGGAAUGAAGGUCUUCGGAUUGUAAACCCCUGUUAUGUGGGAGCAAAUUAAAAAGAUAGUACCAUAUGAGGAAGAGACGGCUAACUCUGUGCCAGCAGCUGCGGUAAUACAGAGGUCUCAAGCGUUGUUCGGAGUCACUGGGCGUAAAGCGUGGGUAGGCGGUUUCGUAAGUCGUGUGUGAAAGGUGGGGGCUCAACCCGAGGACGGCACAUGAUACUGCGAGACUAGAGUAAUGGAGAGGGAGCCGGAAUUCUCGGUGUAGCAGUGAAAUGCGUAGAUAUCGAGAAGAACACUCGUGGCGAAGGCAGGUUCCUGGACAUUAACUGACACUGAGGCACGAAGGCCAGGGGAGCGAAAGGGAUUAGAUACCCGUGUAGUC